rnacentral:rRNA from 1 species
AUACAUUAUUAAUCUUAUAAAUACCCUCACAUAAAAACACUAAAAUACGAACUACUAUAUUAACCAACAAAUAAAAAGUACUAAAAAGGAAACCUUUAAAUAUUUAAAAGUAGUGAAACCCGCGUACCUUGUGCAUUAUGGUUUUACAAGCUAGAAAUUCAUAAUAUCUUCCCGAAUUCUGUGCGAGCUGCUUAAUCAUAGCUUAGAGCUCACUAUUAAUUGUAGCAACAAUUUUAGAAAAUGUUUAAGCAGAGGCUACAUACCACCCGCGCCAGAAAAUUGCUGGUUCUCAGUAAAAAUUAUAAAUUAAAACAUGAGGCAAUGUCCGCAAUGUAAAAUCCUAGAGGAUAAGCCCUAAGAUUAAAAGCUAAUUAUUGCCAAUAAAUUAAUAUAGGCCUAAAAACAGCCAUCUGUAAUACUUUACCGUAAUUUGUGUAAAAUAAAUAAAAUAUCUGCUUUAAAAAACUGAGACUUAAGAAAAAUAAGCCGCUUAAGCUAUUAUGUAAAAAUAAGUAUUAGAUAUUCAAGUUAAUUCCCUCAAGCAUUAAUUCAUAAACAUUAUAAAUACU